rnacentral:lncRNA from 1 species
GUUCGGCAUUAGAAAUUCCAUCUGAACUUUAUUUCAUGUGAACAUGUAUUUUGUGGUGAAGAUGAACUCUAGAAUCAGGUACUACAAUUUGAAUGCUGGCUCCACAACUGAUGAGGGAAGUGAGUUUAACAAUUCUGAAGAAGUAUCAUUUGCAAGUGUCUGG